rnacentral:rRNA from 1 species
GAUCAUGGCUCAGGACGAACGCUGGCGGCGUGCUUAACACAUGCAAGUCGAACGAGAAUCUAUGGAACGAGGAUUCGUCCAAGUGAAAUAGAGGACAGUGGCGGACGGGUGAGUAACGCGUGAGGAACCUGCCUUUCAGAGGGGGACAACAGUUGGAAACGACUGCUAAUACCGCAUAACAUAUAGAUGUCGCAUGGCAUUUAUAUCAAAGAUUUAUCGCUGAAAGAUGG